CCUACGUACCCUUUAGAAGGGAUCAAGCCACACACGUAGUUCUAAACCUUUAAUUCUCUCUCUCUAAAAACUCCUAAGUUAUGCCACAACUUAGCAUCUUCUUAUAUAGAGAAGAGUUUUCUAAUCUCAAAAGGAAAUCUUACAUAUUUAGAUAACUCCUAAAUAUAACACUUUUCCUAAUGUCUCUUGGUAUAGCUUAUUGCUCAAGCUAUCUUCAAGCUUAUGCCAACACAACAAGUGUCUAGGUUUGGGGUCCAUAUCAUUUGAUGAAACCAAAAGAUUAAGUCAUGGUCAAAAGAAAAACAGAUGAUUAGAGCAAUGAGCAAUCUAAUCGCAUUUACAUACUUAUUGCACAAUGCACAAUGUCUUGACACAAAACGGAGAAGAAAAAACGGAUUAUCAGGAGAUCACUCCACGUAGCAUAUAAUAAUCUCUUUUUUUCUUUUUUUUCUUUGGUUGCAAUGCACGAAAUAACUAAACAUGAUUCCUUCGUCAAAUUAUAAAAAUUAAUAAAACCAGAUUCUUGAAA